CGAAGGGGGCUAGCGUUGUUCGGAAUUACUGGGCGUAAAGCGCGUGUAGGCGGUUGCCAUAGUCAGGUGUGAAAGCCUUGAGCUCAACUCAAGAAAUGCACUUGAUACUGGGCGACUAGAGGACCGGAGAGGAUAGUGGAAUUCCCAGUGUAGUGGUGAAAUACGUAGAGAUUGGGAAGAACACCAGUGGCGAAGGCGGCUAUCUGGACGGUUUCUGACGCUAAGACGCGAAAGCGUGGGGAGCAAACAGGAUUAGAUACCCUGGUAGUCCACGCCGUAAACGAUGGGUGCUAGACGUUGGCGAGCUUGCUCGUCAGUGUCGCAGCUAACGCGUUAAGCACCCCGCCUGGGGAGUACGGCCGCAAGGUUG
rnacentral:rRNA from 1 species